rnacentral:other from 1 species
AGGGAUCUGCCAUGUUCGACACGAGAGGAGCAUUUUUUGAACCGUGAUGCAGAACCCGGGGAGAUCACGCAAGCCGCAGACUGACGAAUCCGCCCCACGAGCGGGAGGUCAUGAAACGGCCGUGUCGCCCACCUUUAUGACAAGGGUUCAAACAAUACCUCUCACCGGCAUUGCGGUGGAGACCUU